CAUAGGAGAUUGGCUUAAGGAAGAUCUUUUCUCUGCUUUAGAUGAUGAUGGUGAAGUUCUUCAACAAGUUGAUCAAGAUAUAUUUUCCUCUAAAGAUGGUGCUUGUUCUAUGGCGGCAUCAAUUGAUAAUCUUGAUGAUGACUAGAUAUAUUUUCCUCAAAGGUUGUGGUUGUUUGAUGAUUUUA